rnacentral:rRNA from 1 species
GAAUCUGCCCUCAGGAGGGGGAUAACGGUUGGAAACGACCGCUAAUACCCCAUAUGCCUAUUGGUGAAAUGAAUUUCGCCUGAGGAUGAGCUCGCGUCUGAUUAGCUUGUUGGUGAGGUAAUGGCUCACCAAGGCUUCGAUCAGUAGCUGGUCUGAGAGGAUGAUCAGCCACACUGGGACUGAGGCACGGCCCAGACUCCUACGGGAGGCAGCAGUGGGGAAUUUUCCGCAAUGGGCGAAAGCCUGACGGAGCAACGCCGCGUGAGGGACGAAGGCCUCUGGGCUGUAAACCUCUUUUCUCAAGGAAGAAGAUAUGACGGUACUUGAGGAAUAAGCCACGGCUAAUUCCGUGCCAGCAGCCGCGGUAAUACGGGAGUGGCAAGCGUUAUCCGGAAUUAUUGGGCGUAAAGCGUCCGCAGGCGGCUUUUCAAGUCUGCUGUUAAAGCGUGGAGCUUAACUCCAUCAUGGCAGUGGAAACUGAAAGGCUUGAGUAUGGUAGGGGCAGAGGGAAUUCCCGGUGUAGCGGUGAAAUGCGUAGAUAUCGGGAAGAACACCAGUGGCGAAGGCGCUCUGCUGGGCCAUUACUGACGCUCAUGGACGAAAGCCAGGGGAGCGAAAGGGAUUAGAUACCCCUGUAGUCCUGGCCGUAAACGAUGAACACUAGGUGUCGGGGGAAUCGACCCCUUCGGUGUCGUAGCUAACGCGUUAAGUGUUCCGCCUGGGGAGUACGCACGCAAGUGUGAAACUCAAAGGAAUUGACGGGGGCCCGCACAAGCGGUGGAGUAUGUGGUUUAAUUCGAUGCAACGCGAAGAACCUUACCAGGGUUUGACAUCCUGCGAACCUCUUAGAAAUUUGAGGGUGCCUUCGGGAAUGCAGUGACAGGUGGUGCAUGGCUGUCGUCAGCUCGUGUCGUGAGAUGUUGGGUUAAGUCCCGCAACGAGCGCAACCCACGUUUUUAGUUGCCAGCAUUUAGUUGGGCACUCUAGAAAGACCGCCGGUGAUAAACCGGAGGAAGGUGUGGAUGACGUCAAGUCAUCAUGCCCCUUACACCCUGGGCUACACACGUACUACAAUGCUACGGACAAAGGGCAGCAAACUCGCGAGAGCUAGCAAAUCCCACAAACCGUGGCUCAGUUCAGAUCGUAG